rnacentral:pre_miRNA from 1 species
UAUUAGGUUGGUGCAAAGGUAACUGUGGUUUUUGCCACUAAAAGUAAUGGCAAAAACUGCAAUUACUUUUGCACCAAUCUAAUA